GAUGAAUGCUGGCGGCGUGCCUAACACAUGCAAGUCGAGCGGCAGCGAGGGGUGCUUGCACCCUGUCGGCGAGCGGCGAACGGCUGAGUAACGCGUAGGAAUUUGCCCCAAAGUGAGGAAUAAUUGCCCGAAAGGGUAGCUAAUGCCGCAUAGGGUCUUCGGAUUAAAGGAUUUAUCCGCUUUGGGAGAAGCCUGCGUUGGAUUAGGUUGUUGGUAGGGUAAUGGCCUACCAAGCCGACGAUCCAUAGCUGGUCUGAGAGGAUGAUCAGCCAGACUGGAACUGAGACACGGUCCAGACUCCUACGGGAGGCAGCAGUGAGGAAUCUUCCACAAUGGGCGAAAGCCUGAUGGAGCAACGCCGCGUGAAGGAUGAAGGCCUUCGGGUUGUAAACUUCUUUUAUGAGUGAAGAAUAUGACGGUAACUCAUGAAUAAGCACCGGCUAACUACGUG
rnacentral:rRNA from 1 species